rnacentral:rRNA from 1 species
GACGAACGCUGGCGGCGUGCUUAACACAUGCAAGUCGAACGGAAAGGCCCUGCUUUUGUGGGGUGCUCGAGUGGCGAACGGGUGAGUAACACGUGAGUAACCUGCCCUUGACUUUGGGAUAACUUCAGGAAACUGGGGCUAAUACCGGAUAGGAGCUCCUGCUGCAUGGUGGGGGUUGGAAAGUUUCGGCGGUUGGGGAUGGACUCGCGGCUUAUCAGCUUGUUGGUGGGGUAGUGGCUUACCAAGGCUUUGACGGGUAGCCGGCCUGAGAGGGUGACCGGCCACAUUGGGACUGAGAUACGGCCCAGACUCCUACGGGAGGCAGCAGUGGGGAAUAUUGCACAAUGGGCGGAAGCCUGAUGCAGCAACGCCGCGUGCGGGAUGACGGCCUUCGGGUUGUAACCCGCUUUCGCCUGUGACGAAGCGCGAGUGACGGUAAUGGGUAAAGAAGCCCCGGCUAACUACGUG